rnacentral:tRNA from 2 species
CGCAGGAUCUACUAACGGAAGGUUGUCAGCCUCAUAAGCUGAUUGUACGGGUUCAAAUCCCGUUCCUGCAA